rnacentral:misc_RNA from 1 species
AACGCACCUUGCGCCCCUUGGAUAUUCCGAUGGGCAUGCCUGUUUGAGUAUCAUGAACACCUCAACUCUCAUGGUUUGCCAUGAUGAGCUUGGACUUUGGGGGUUUUGCUGGCCUAUGGUCAGCUCCUCUCAAAUAAAUCAGCUUGCCAGUGUUUGGUGGCAUCACAGGUGUGAUAACUAUCUACGCUUGUUGUUGUACACCAGGUAACCUUCAGAGAUGGAGGUUCGCUGGAGCUCAUAGACGUCUCUCCUCAGUGAGGACAGCUUUUUUAACGUUCGAUCUCAAAUCAGGUAGGACUACCCGCUGAACUUAA